AGCGACUCUCAUGCCUCAGGCUUCCAAAUAGCUGGGAUUACAGUGCAUUGGAAGCCACAGGAAGAUUUUUUUUUUUUUUUUUUUUUGGAUGGAGUCUCGCUCUGUCGCCCAGGCUGGAGUGCAAUGCGCCAUCUCGGCUCACUGCAACCUUCGCCUCCCGGUUUCAAGUGAUUCUCCGGCCUCAGCCCCCCGAGCAGCUGGGAAUACAGGAGAAAUUAAAUAUCAGAGUUGGAAAGGACAGAAGCAGCCUGAACUCUCAUCCAUAUGAACUCUGUACAACCAUUGUGGAGGGCCAUUGGCAGUACACAGUCAAGUUGAAGGCUGCUUUCCGGGUACAACAGCAGAGUUGAGAGACUGCACAGAGAAUGGAUGACCUGUAAAGGCUGAAAUAUUUACAACCUGACUCUGCAGAAAACGCUUGAGACCCUUGAUCUAAAUACUCAUCAGGGAAUACAGAUGAUGCUACAAGCAAUGAAAAUAGUAAACCACAGCUACAUAUGUCGACAUGACUAAAUCUCAAAAAUAAAAUAUUUUCAAAAGCAAGUUACAAAAUGUUACAGUAUGAUGCUAUUUAUAUGAAGCCUGAAUACAUGCACAGAAUGGUAUGCAUGUUUAUGGACAUGUGUGUUUGUAGUAGGAGAAUUAAAAUACGUGGUUGGGCGCCGUAGCUCAUGCCUGUAAUCCUGGCAGUUUGGGAGGCCAAGGUGGGCAGAUCACCUGAGGUCGGGAGUUCAAAACCAGCUUGACCAACAUGGAGAAACCCCAUCUCUACUAAAAACACAAAAUCAGCCGGGCGUGGUGACGCAUGCCUAUAAUCCCAGCUACUCCAGAGACUGAGGCAGGAGAAUCGCUUGAACCUGGGAGGUGGAGGUUGCGGUGACCGAGAUUGCAUCAUUGCACUCCAGCCUGGGCAACAAAAAUGAAACUCCAUCUCAAAAAAAAAAUAAAAGAAUUAAAAUAUGCAUGGAAAUACCCGAAAAAGAGUUCCCACUGGGAAGAAAGAGACUAGGACCAGGGAUCAGGGAGGGGGUUACAUAUAAAACUUCGAUGGUGUCUUUAAUCUUGUUUUUUUUUUAAUGACAUAAUAUGCAAAUAUGGAAAAAUGAUUUCAGCCGGGUGGGGUGGCUCACGCCUGUAAUCCUAGCACUUUGGGAGGCUGAGGUGGGCAGGUCACCUGAGCUCAGGAGACCAGCCUGGCCAACAUAGUGAAACCCCAUCUCUACUAAAAAUACAAAAAAUUAGCUGAGCGUGGUGGAGCGUGCCUGUAGUCCCAGCUACUCGUGAAGCUGAAAUAGGAGAAUUGCUGAACCCAGGAGACGGAGGUUGCAGUGAGCCGAGAUUACACCACUGCACUCCAGCCUGGGCAACAGAGUGAGACGAAAGACUCUGUAUCAAAAAAAAAAAAAAAAAAACGGCCGGGCAUGGUGGCUCACGCCUGUAAUCACUUUGGGAGGCCAAGGUGGGCAGAUCACGAGGUCAGGAGUUCAAGACCAGUCUGGCCAACAUGGUGAAACGCUGCCUCUACUAAAACUACAAAAAAAUUAGCCAGGCGUGGAGGCACGUGCCUGCAGUCCCAGCUACUCAGGAGGCUGAGGAAGGAGAAUCGCUUGAACCCGGGAGGUGGAGGUUGCAGUGAGCCAAGAUCACACCACUAUACUCCAGCUUAGGCAACAGAGCGAGACUCUGCCUCAAAAAAAAAAAAAAAAAAAAAAGAACCUGAGGGUUACUUUAGGGGUCUCCCAUGUCCACUGCAGUUCUAGAAUUCAGUGGCCCAUCAUCAACUGAGUGGAUAAACAAAAUGUGGUCUGUCCACACAAGGGAAUAUUAUUUGGCCCUAAAAAGAAUAAAGUUCUGGCCAGGCACAGUGGCUCACACCUGUAAUCCCAGCACUUUGGGAGGCCGAGGUGAGUGGUUCACCUGAGGUCAGGAUUUCAAGACCAGCCUGGCCAACAUGGCGAAACCUCAUCUGUACUAAAAAUACAAAAAUUAGCCAGGUGUGGUGGCGGGCGCCUGUAAUCCCAGCUACACAGCAGGCUGAGGCAAGAGAAUUGCUUGAACCCAGGUAGCGGAGGCUGUAGUGAGCCGAGGUUGCACCACUGCCCUCCAGCCUGGGCGACAGAGCGAGACUCUGCCUCAAAAAAAAAAAAAAAAAAAAGAAUAAAGUUCUAACCCAUGCUGCCACAUGGAUGGAAUUGGAAGACGUUAUACUCAGUGAAAGAAGCCAGAUUCAGAGGACCACAUCUUGUAUGAUUCCAUUCCCGUGAAAUCUCCGGAACAGGCAAACCCACACAGAUGGAAAAUAGAUUCGUGGCUGCCAGGGGCUGGGGAGAAUGGGAGGGUCCCAGGGAUGAUGGCUAAGGGGUGAGGGCUUCUCUUUGAGAUGAUCAAAACGUUCUAAAAUUGAUUGUGGUGAUGGUUGCACAAUUAUGUGAAUAUACUAAAAAACCAUAGAACUGUACACCUUAAAUGGGUAAACUGUAUGGUAUGCGAAUUCUAUCUCAAUAAAGUUGCUAAAAAAUAAAAGUCUCCAUUUCUCCCCUUGCCCCGCCCCCCAAAAAACACUAAAAUUUUAAUGGUCCUAUAUUCAUUCUUUGAAUGUUCACUCCAUGAGCCAAUGUCCUAGCUAGAAUGAAUCUCCAAGCUGCUUAGAAGAGUUAGGGACAGACUGUCAGAAAACUGGGUGUGGGUAAUUAACUUCUGCUACACCCAAGACAAUCUUUUCUUUUUGCUUUCUUUUUUUUUUUUUUGAGACAGAGAGUCACUCUGUUGCCCAGGCUGGAGUACAGGGGCACCAUCUCUCGGCUCACAGCAACCUCCACCUCCUGGGUUCCAGC
rnacentral:lncRNA from 10 species